rnacentral:rRNA from 1 species
GACGAACGCUGGCGGCGUGCCUAACACAUGCAAGUCGAGCGGGGAGAAGAAUUCGUUUUUCUCUUUAGCGGCGGACGGGUGAGUAACACGUGGGUAACCUGCCUCAAAGAGGGGGAUAGCCUUCCGAAAGGAAGAUUAAUACCGCAUAAUAUCAGGAAGCUGCAUGGCAUUCUGAGUAAAGGAGCAAUCAGCUUUGAGAUGGACCCGCGGCGCAUUAGCUAGUUGGUGAGGUAACGGCCCACCAAGGCGACGAUGCGUAGCCAACCCGAGAGGGUGAUCGGCCACAUUGGAACUGAGACACGGUCCAGACUCCUACGGGAGGCAGCAGUGGGGAAUAUUGCACAAUGGGGGAAACCCUGAUGCAGCAACGCCGCGUGAGUGAUGAAGGCCUUCGGGUCGUAAAGCUCUUUGAUCAGGGACGAUAAUGACGGUACCUGAAAAACAAGCCACGGCUAACUACGUGCCAGCCGCCGCAGUAAGAC